CAACAACACAACAACUCUCUCUUCCCACGCAGACGAAAGAAAGAGAAACAAGUGUUUGCGUGUGUCUCUCAGCAAAGCAUUUGCGUGUGUUCCUCCUAACACCACGAGCACGAAUUUGUUCAACAGCCCGACACCAAAGGAAAGCGUUCAGCUAACAGCAGCAGCAGCAAACUCAGCGGCGGCGGCGGCAUCAGCAGCAGCAGCGCAAACAGCAAAAGCGGCGGCGGCGGCAUCAGCAGCAGCAGCAUCAGCAGCAGUAGCAGCAGCGCAGAUAGCAGCUUAUCCUUUUAUCCUAGUAUGAUGGCCGAAUUGGAUUGAUUAACAUAGUUGUAUCUCUCUUUGUCGUCAUUUAGUGGCUUAUUGACAGUGUGUAUGUGUGGUGCGUAAGACGAUUGCUAUCGAAACAGCAACAGAGUAGUAGCCUCAAUGCGAUUUAGGGGUAGUUAAAUGCUUGCACUAAAAGAGGGACCUAAGACGAACAGAAUCAGAAGAAUGAACCGGUGGCUGCGUGUGUGUGUGUGUGAAGAAGAAGCAGCUGUGUUGUAUCCUUCGGACAAAAAAACAAAACACAUCGACUACGAUUUGCAACUCCAUCUCACGUUUAUGAAACGUUCUUACGCUGUAGAAAAAGAAAGCAAGUAACCAACCCACACACGCAUACACACACCGUAUAUGAUAGUCUCACUCGGGUUUUAGUAGCAGAGGGAGUGUCGAGGAAGUGUAUGGUGUCCAAGAUGUCAGUUAACACCGGUUUAAUCAAUGUUUAACAUGAAAACGUUUGUCAGCAAAUUGUCAGUUACAAAACAAAAAUCCACCUUAGAAUGCAAUGCGAAGCGAAUAUUGCAAAACACAGCACCGCAUAUAGUGUAUGGUAAUGAAUGGUAUAAGUGCGUAGUUAAAAACACACAACAAAGCAUAAGAAGAAAGAGAAGAGAAAAGAAACACAAAAGAUAGUAUAAAAAUGCAGUAAGUAACUCAUUAUUGAUAAAAAUAAGAGCUUUUCAACUAAAGAACUACUACUACUACCAAGCUAGUAAGAGAAGAGAGAACGUAUUUAAAAGAAGAAAAAACACACACAAGCAAACAAUACAAUCACACACAAACACACACACACACACUCACAGACUUUCGAGCACACAACAAAACCGUUUAAACAAUUCCAAAACAAAGUUAGGAAUCAACGAACACACUUAGCUCUACUACACACGAUACAAAAAACUCCCAAAAAGAAAGACAUUUUCUUCCUUUCUUCCUUUCUUUCUUUCGUCGUCGUUGUCGUCGUCGUUGUCGCGUUUGUUAGUUGAGAGGUAAACAGCGAAAAAAA